rnacentral:tRNA from 1 species
CGAGCUAAAGCUUUAAAAGGAAGCAUUUUAGUUACAUUAAAAAGAAUAUUUUAAUAAAAUAUAGCUUGA